AGGACGAACGCUGGCGGCGUGCCUAACACAUGCAAGUCGAGCGAGGAGAUCCUUCGGGAUGAUCCUAGCGGCGGACGGGUGAGUAACACGUGGGCGAACCUGCCUCAUAGAGAGGAAUAGCCUUCCGAAAGGAGAUUAAUACCUCAUAACAUUGCAGUUUCGCAUGGAACAGCAAUUAAAGGAGCAAUCCGCUAUGAGAUGGGCCCGCGGCGCAUUAGCUAGUUGGUGAGGUAACGGCUCACCAAGGCGACGAUGCGUAGCCGACCUGAGAGGGUGAUCGGCCACAUUGGGACUGAGACACGGCCCAGACUCCUACGGGAGGCAGCAGUGGGGAAUAUUGCACAAUGGGGGAAACCCUGAUGCAAGCAACGCCGCGUGAGUGAUGACGGCCUUCGGGUUGUAAAGCUCUGUCUUCAGGGACGAUAAUGACGGUACCUGAGGAGGAAGCCACGGCUAACUACGUGCCAGCAGCCGC
rnacentral:rRNA from 1 species